GUAGGGAAUCUUCGGCAAUGGACGAAAGUCUGACCGAGCAACGCCGCGUGAGUGAAGAAGGUUUUCGGAUCGUAAAACUCUGUUGGUAGAGAAGAACGUUGGUGAGAGUGGAAAGCUCAUCAAGUGACGGUAACUACCCAGAAAGGGACGGCUAACUACGUGCCAGCAGCCGCGGUAAUACGUAGGUCCCGAGCGUUGUCCGGAUUUAUUGGGCGUAAAGCGAGCGCAGGUGGUUUCUUAAGUCUGAUGUAAAAGGCAGUGGCUCAACCAUUGUAUGCAUUGGAAACUGGUAGACUUGAGUGCAGGAGAGGAGAGUGGAAUUCCAUGUGUAGCGGUGAAAUGCGUAGAUAUAUGGAGGAACACCGGUGGCGAAAGCGGCUCUCUGGCCUGUAACUGACACUGAGGCUCGAAAGCGUGGGGAGCAAACAGGAUUAGAAACCCCAGUAGUCC
rnacentral:rRNA from 1 species